rnacentral:rRNA from 1 species
UUUCCGUAGGUGAACCUGCGGAAGGAUCAUUACCGAGUGAGGGCCCUCUGGGUCCAACCUCCCACCCGUGUUUAUUUUACCUUGUUGCUUCGGCGGGCCCGCCUUAACUGGCCGCCGGGGGGCUCACGCCCCCGGGCCCGCGCCCGCCGAAGACACCCUCGAACUCUGUCUGAAGAUUGAAGUCUGAGUGAAAAUAUAAAUUAUUUAAAACUUUCAACAACGGAUCUCUUGGUUCCGGCAUCGAUGAAGAACGCAGCGAAAUGCGAUACGUAAUGUGAAUUGCAAAUUCAGUGAAUCAUCGAGUCUUUGAACGCACAUUGCGCCCCCUGGUAUUCCGGGGGGCAUGCCUGUCCGAGCGUCAUUGCUGCCCUCAAGCCCGGCUUGUGUGUUGGGCCCCGUCCUCCGAUCUCCGGGGGACGGGCCCGAAAGGCAGCGGCGGCACCGCGUCCGGUCCUCGAGCGUAUGGGGCUUUGUCACCCGCUCUGUAGGCCCGGCCGGCGCUUGCCGAUCAACCCAAAUUUUUAUCCAGGUUGACCUCGGAUCAGGUAGGGAUACCCGCUGAACUUAA